rnacentral:rRNA from 1 species
UACGAAGGGUGCAAGCGUUACUCGGAAUUACUGGGCGUAAAGCGUGCGUAGGUGGUUCGUUAAGUCUGAUGUGAAAGCCCUGGGCUCAACCUGGGAAUGGCAUUGGAAACUGGCGACCUAGAGUGCGGUAGAGGGUAGUGGAAUUCCCGGUGUAGCAGUGAAAUGCGUAGAGAUCGGGAGGAACAUCUGUGGCGAAGGCGGGUCUCUGGGCCGAUACUGACGCUGAGGAGCGAAAGCGUGGGGAGCGAACAGG